rnacentral:rRNA from 1 species
AACGAACGCUGGCGGCGCGUCUUAAGCAUGCAAGUCGAACGGCAAGAGGUAGCAAUACCUCCUAGAGUGGCGGACUGGUGAGUAACACGUGGGUGACAUACCCUUCAGAUGGGGAUAGCUAUUAGAAAUAGUAGAUAAUACCGAAUACGAGCACAGGGGUUAGAGAUCUGUGAGGAAAGGAGCUAAGGCUCCGCUGAAGGAAUGGCCUGCGGCCCAUUAGCUAGUGGUGAGGUAAGAGCCCACCAAGGCGAUGAUGGGUAUCCGGCCUUAGAGGGUGAACGGACACAUUGGGACUGAGAUACGGCCCAGACUCCUACGGGAGGCAGCAGCUAAGAAUAUUCCGCAAUGGACGAAAGUCUGACGGAGCGACGCCGCGUGGAUGAAGAAGGCCGGAAGGUUGUAAAAAUCCUUUUGAAACUGAAGAAUAAGCGUUGUAGGGAAUGACAGCGUGGUGACAGUAGGUUUUGAAUAAGCAACGGCUAAUUACGUGCCAGCCGCCGC